GGAAAUCAUUCACUAAAAUGUUUGUUGCAGUGCAUUAGCCGGCUUUUUAGUAAUGGCCAAAAUACCCAACAAGAGCAAGGUAGAAGAGGAGAAGUUUAAUUUUCUCUGGGCCUUAGCUGAGACUAAACAUCAUGACAGCAGGACAUGGUAGAGGUAAGCGGCUCAGCUCCUGAAAGCCAGGAAACAGAGAUAGCAAGGAACUAGGAAUAAAAUAUAUAAUCCCAAGGAAUGCCCCAGUCACCUACUUUCUCCAGUUACACCUCACCUGCCUACAGCUGCAUCCAGUAAUCCAUUCAUAGAAUGGAUCCAUCGAAUGGAUGAAUCCACUGAUUAGUUUAUAGCUCUCAUAAUCUAACCACGAGCUUUUGGGGGGACACCUUAUAUUCAAACCAUAACAGCAGUACAUACUGCUCCUAAUUAGAUGCUACCAUAAAUUAAGAUAAUCGUAUAGUAAUGAAACCUCACUAGAUUAUAGCUUCUCAUAAUCACACGUUAAAUUUUAAUAAUAGUUAUAUAAAAUAAAAUGCACAUUCUUCUGACAUUAUGAUUUUUUUGUUAUUAUUCAUUUGGAUAUGGAAAGUAAUGUCCGUGACACUAGGAAGAAGUCCAAAUUUAAUUUAUAUGUCUGAGUUAGUAACAGAAUACUGCAACAUGUGAGGAAUAUUUUCAGAGAAAUUCCCCUCAUUGCUGCUGCUGAAGAUGUAUUUUGAACUAAGAUAUCCAUUUUACUGCUGAAAUGUGACUUGUAGCUAGCGAUUCCUUUGGUAUGUUGUAACAAAUCUAUAAAAAUUAAAUGGCAUUUUACCCUCUCUUCUUUGAUCCUACAGGAUCCUCAGAUGAUUUCCCACAAAAAUCAUCAGGGAAGUGCUCAGAAAUUUUGCUAGGAUAUGGGUACAGUGGCCCCUGAAAAUGCUUCUGUGGUUAUAAUCUGAACUGUUCCAAAGGCUUGAUAGGGCUGUGUCCAGCUCCCCAGGGAGAGCAACUCCCCAUCUUGCAAUUGCAGGGACGGUGCCUAUGAUAUAGAGAGAGGAAAAGACUAAAACAGAAACGAUUUUAAAA
rnacentral:lncRNA from 1 species